GAACAAGGGCUAAAGCCACAGCAGGAUAGGAAAUGUAUUUACCGAACCCAGGGAGAAAAGCGGGUUGCCUGGGCUGUCCCUAAUGUCUCUUUGGACUGUGGGUCUGUAGCACCUGUCAUGAUAGAGUCCUACGAAUUCAUAGGCAAAACAAAGUUAACAUUAGCAGUCCUGAGGCUGUGUAUCCUUGAAAAUGCCUGUUCUCAAAGUGUAAUCUUUGAUGAUAUUGUCAGAGGAAGCAUGUAGGUAGCAAAGAGCAGGAGGGGGAGCCCCUGGGAAAUCCCACACCCCCAGGGACCACCCAAAUCAGGCAUGCUAGAUAUAAGCAGAGAGGAGGGGAAUCACCUAGGUAGAAAGAAACUUCCAUUAUGAUGCCCAGGAAUCAUUCACUUUGCAGUUAUCCUGUCAGAAUGUAGCUAGAUAGAUGCUGAUAGGGCAAAGGGGACAUUCCUAAGCAAAACCUGGCACCGUAUGUACACAAGAGGGCAAACAAGAAACUCCUAAGAGAUACCCAGGUAUCAUAAGCACAGAUUUAACCACUAUACGACCUUCCUGAGGUGGCAGUAAUGAGCAAUGCAGCCACCCACAUAUCCAUUGAUGGCUGAAUGUAAAAACAAAAUGUGGUAAGCAUAUACAUAAAAUGGGAUAUUAUUUACUCUUAGAAAA
rnacentral:lncRNA from 1 species